AAGCGGCAGCGUUCACAAAGUACGUUCGAGCUUGUAUCACUAUGGUGGAAUUCUGGACAUAAAAAUGGGAUGAAAUGUCGUCGAAUACGACUUUUCUUCAUUUCAAGAACAACGUGUGUGACUCAUCGGUUUGCGUUGUGCGUUAACACAUGUACGAGUAUAGACUAUAGUGUUACUGUAUCCAAUUUUGUAUAAAGGAUUCGUUGAGAGAAAAUCCGCUACAAAUCAAUCAAUGAGAAUAGCAACCAAGUGUAUACACUAAUUUUCUACGUGUUUUAUACAUGUUUUAAUUUAAUGAAUGGAUAAAUGGAUAAAUAAAUGCAACUGAUUUAUUAUGA